UAAAAUGGCUUUUUGCCUUCUGCCCUUACUGGAGAAUUCUGCUAAUGCCGGGGUGAGGUAGUAAGUUGUAUUGUU
rnacentral:precursor_RNA from 1 species